rnacentral:rRNA from 1 species
UACAGAGGUCUCAAGCGUUGUUCGGAUUCAUUGGGCGUAAAGGGUGCGUAGGUGGCGCUGUAAGUCGGGUGUGAAAUUUCGGAGCUUAACUCCGAAACUGCAUUCGAUACUGCGGUGCUUGAGGACUGGAGAGGAGACUGGAAUUCAUGGUGUAGCAGUGAAAUGCGUAGAGAUCAUGAGGAAGACCGGUGGCGAAGGCGGGUCUCUGGACAGUUCCUGACACUGAGACACGAAGGCCAGGGGAGCAAACGGG